rnacentral:lncRNA from 1 species
CCUGUUUGUAAGGAACUAAAACAUUACAUCUGGUGAACAACAAAGAUUUCACUACACCUCAAAUACAGAACACUUAUGAAGCAGAGGAAUGUUGGCUUUUUAAACAGAAGCAGAUAAAAAAAAAAAGAUGCAGGACUCCUUCAGUUCUUCACUAGUCUUAGAAAAACUUUCCAGAAUACUGCUUCACACUAUAAAAAAGAAAAAAAAAUAUCUUGCAUUAGAAUUCUUCAACAUCUGCACACUGCUUCACACUGUUUUGCAGUAAAUACUAUGCAUUCUGUAUCUGGUCCUGUGUUCCUGUAAUUGUUAUAAUUCGAUCCUCAGAUCCUUCCAAAGGCUCAUCAAUUUUGAUUGAUGCUCCAGAUUCAUGACGUAAUUGUUUGAUUCGCUGACCACCUUUGCCAAUAAUAGAUCCAGCCAAAUCUUUGGGAAUAGUUACUUGUGUUGUAUUAAUGGGUCCACCAAGAUCACUGUAUGAGCCACGGCCCCCUGCAUAGGAAUAAUCAUAUCCAGAACCACCCGUAAACUCAUGGUACUCAACCUUUGGUUCAUAAGCCAUCUGCCAUUCGGAAGGACUCCAAGUAUCUAUUGCAGAGUCCCAAGUCUCAUCAGCACUAAAAGCAACCAUGCCAUCUUCAUGGUCACCAGGUCUUCCUCUUCUGUCAUAAGCCAUAAGAUUGCCUCCUCUAGGUGGUGGUGGUGGUGGAAGAGGAAGAUUUCGAGCUCUGCUACCACCCCUGCCACCACGUCCAGGAGGAGGUGAGGGGGGUCCUCUUCGAGGGCUCAUGUCAUCAUAAUCUCUUCUAGAUGGGGGCAUAGGACUCCCACCACGGCCUGGGGGCAUUCUGUCAAAGCCUCCCCUUCCCCGCAUGGGAAAUCCUACAGGGCGUCCUCUUCGAUCAUCAAACAUCAUUGUGAAACCACCAUAGUCAUAGGUUUCAUCAUAGAAAUUGGGAUCAUAGGGUUGUGCACGUCCUUUGAUAGGAGACUCAGAUAUAAGAUCCAGUAUGAUCUUGCACUCCACAACCCUAUCAGGAUUUCCAUCGAUAAGAACAACUCGAUUCGUUGAAGUUGAAUGAGGACAGCAUUCCUGGAAAAGCUUGAUAGUUGUCUGGGUGUUCUCUCGAAGUUCUUUGAUUUUGCACCUUUGACCCCAAUAAUUCCUCCUGCCAGACUCUGGUGAAUCAACAAUCUCAACUCGCAGUCAAAGUCGCUUCCUUUAUAGUGUUGAUAAUUUAAGCAUUCCACAGCACCAGAUUCGAGUGGGAGCUGGCUGGUUGCAGUGGGUGAUGUCAACUGCAGGCCCUCUUCCAAGGUAGGGAUGAUUUUCUUCAGAAUUUCUCCAAUUGUUUCAAUAUCUGCACUGAUACUCCAUACGCUCGGAGGCACUGCUGUGUGGGACUGAAACACUGGCAUUGUAGUCUGUAAGAAGAGCUUUGAUAUUUUUGCCUCCUUUCCCAAUCACUGCUCCAGCAUUCUUGCUAUGAAGCGAAAUGCGCAGUUCAACCAUCUCAUCAGUGUUUCUAGAUCUUUUAAAGGCC